CCUAGGUUUUUCUCUGUCAUUUUGGUUCCGCUGGUUCAAGGUAUAGCGCACGCUGGAGGGACAAAUUUGUGGCAUAAUAAAAGUAUUGGUGCUUGGUGAGGUAUGUAAUUUUUUAUUUUAUUUUAUUUUAUUUGAUAAACCGCUAAUGGUAGUGUCUAUAUAGGGCUGAUGUAUAGGGCUGACGUUCAUACGGUCCGAAUCUAUCAAGGGCUGAGCAUAUGCAUUCCACCCGAUGAUCUGAUAUGGACUCCAGGGAGGAAUGGUAGUAUGCAUCACAUUCUUAUUGGUUAUAUGUGCCUCUCAUUGGAGGAUAUC
rnacentral:lncRNA from 1 species